UACGGAGGAUCCGGGCGUUAUCCGGAUUUAUUGGGUUUAAAGGGAGCGUAGGUGGAUUGUUAAGUCAGUUGUGAAAGUUUGCGGCUCAACCGUAAAAUUGCAGUUGAAACUGGCAGUCUUGAGUACAGUAGAGGUGGGCGGAAUUCGUGGUGUAGCGGUGAAAUGCUUGGAUAUCACGAAGAACUCCGAUUGCGAAGGCAGCUCACUGGACUGCAACUGACACUGAGGCUCGAAAGUGUGGGUAUCAAACAGG
rnacentral:rRNA from 1 species